GACGAACGCUGGCGGCGUGCUUAACACAUGCAAGUCGAACGGAAAGGCCCUGCUUUUGUGGGGUGCUCGAGUGGCGAACGGGUGAGUAACACGUGAGUAACCUGCCCUUCACUUUGGGAUAACUUCAGGAAACUGGGGCUAAUACCGGCUAGGAUCUCCUGCUGCAUGGUGGGCGUUGGAAAGUUUCGGCGGUUGGGGAUGGACUCGCGGCGUAUCAGCUUGUUGGUGGGGUAGUGGCUUACCAAGGCUUUGACGGGUAGCCGGCCUGAGAGGGUGACCGGCCACAUUGGGACUGAGAUACGGCACAGACUCCUACGGGAGGCAGCGGUGGGGAAGAUUGCACAAGGGGCGGAAGGCUGAUGCAGCAACGCCGCGUGCGGGAUGACGGGCUUCGGGUUGUAAACCGCUUUCGCCUGUGACGAAGCGUGAGUGACGGUAAUGGGUAAAGAAGCACCGGCUAACUACGUG
rnacentral:rRNA from 1 species